UACGUAGGGUGCGAGCGUUGUCCGGAAUUAUUGGGCGUAAAGAGCUCGUAGGCGGUCUGUCGCGUCGAUCGUGAAAACUUGGGGCUUAACCCUGAGCUUGCGGUCGAUACGGGCAUGACUGGAGUUCGGCAGGGGAGACUGGAAUCCUGGUGUAGCGGUGAAAUGCGCAGAUAUCAGGAGGAACACCGGUGGCGGAAGGCGGGUCUCGUGGG
rnacentral:rRNA from 1 species